rnacentral:rRNA from 1 species
GAUGAACGCUAGCUACAGGCUUAACACAUGCAAGUCGAGGGGAAACGGCAUUGAGUGCUUGCACUCUUUGGACGUCGACCGGCGCACGGGUGAGUAACGCGCAUCCAACCUUCCCAUUACUGUGGGAUAACCUGCCGAAAGGCAGACUAAUACCGCAUAGUCUUCGAUGACGGCAUCAGAUUUGAAGUAAAGAUUUAUCGGUAAUGGAUGGGGAUGCGUCUGAUUAGCUUGUUGGCGGGGUAACGGCCCACCAAGGCUACGAUCAGUAGGGGUUCUGAGAGGAAGGUCCCCCACAUUGGAACUGAGACACGGUCCAAACUCCUACGGGAGGCAGCAGUGAGGAAUAUUGGUCAAUGGACGGAAGUCUGAACCAGCCAAGUAGCGUGCAGGAUGACGGCCCUAUGGGUUGUAAACUGCUUUUGUAUGGGGAUAAAGUUAGGGACGUGUCCCUAUUUGCAGGUACCAUACGAAUAAGGACCGGCUAAUUCCGUGCCAGCAGCCGCGGUAAUACGGAAGGUCCAGGCGUUAUCCGGAUUUAUUGGGUUUAAAGGGAGCGUAGGCUGGAGAUUAAGUGUGUUGUGAAAUGUAGACGCUCAACGUCUGACUUGCAGCGCAUACUGGUUUCCUUGAGUACGCACAACGUUGGCGGAAUUCGUCGUGUAGCGGUGAAAUGCUUAGAUAUGACGAAGAACUCCGAUUGCGAAGGCAGCUGACGGGAGCGCAACUGACGCUUAAGCUCGAAGGUGCGGGUAUCAAACAGG